GUUUAUAGGAUUCUUAUUUCAUUAAACAGCCACGCAGAGUCAUGCUAGCCGCUGGACGCUUCGGAAAUUGGUUUUCUGCCUGUGAUCACCGAUUUCUUGAGCUGAAAAAUGAAUAUGGAACUUGGGACGAGGCUUACAAGCGAUGCUGCUCCCUUGGAAUGGAUCUUUUAUCCAUUCAUAAUUCAAACAAACAAUUCUGCUUGAAUGAUCCU